rnacentral:rRNA from 1 species
UACGUAGGGGGCAAGCGUUGUCCGGAAUCAUUGGGCGUAAAGAGCGCGUAGGCGGUCCGGUAAGUCCGCUCUGAAAGUCCGGGGCUCAACCCCGGGAGGCGGGCGGAUACUGUCGGGCUAGAGUCCGGAAGAGGCGAGUGAAAUUCCUGGUGUAGCGGUGAAAUGCGCAGAUAUCAGGAGGAACACCAAUGGCGAAGGCAGCUCGCUGGGACGGUACUGACGCUGAGGCGCGAAAGCGUGGGGAGCAAACAGG